rnacentral:lncRNA from 1 species
AUUCCUAAGCCAUUUGAGCCCUUAAAUGUUACCCGGGACACCCCAAACACUUAACCAAAGAGUUUUCCGCUCCUUAGAGUGCGUAUACAUGUUUAAUUAGUAUUGAGUGUACUAAUUGUAUGUGAACAUAUGUUAUCAUAUGUUGAAUAUGUCACUAGGUGUGUUCAAGUCUUUGAUUGACACCGAGCACCCAACCGGCGCCUUCGUCGGAUCCACUUACACUAGGUGAGUUCAUACCCCUGUGUCACUAGGUGUGUUCAAGUCUUUGAUUGACACCGAGCACCCAACCGGCGCCUUCGUCGGAUCCACUUACACUAGGUGAGUUCAUACCCCUGAAUGAACCUUUUAAAUGUUUUUACAUGUUUUAUAGGGGGGAAUACAAGUUAAACAUGCCAGUUAUCAUAUCAAUCACAUGUGAUUGAUAACCCGCAUGCACAAGGAUUUACCACACUGUAAACUGUUUUACCGAGUAGGAUACUAUAAAUGGUUUUCUAAAAUGUUUUCACUUGUUCAAGCUCUUACUUAUACUGGUUUAUGAAAGGUUCCCAAAGAAAUUCUAAAGGUUACAAACUUAUUUUACCUAAGAAUACCCGGUUGUAAUCUUCUUAAGGAUAAAGGUUUUUCCAAAGGUUUUCAUCAAAGUUCUCUUUCAUGCCGUAUACUUUUACUUUUACUUGUUAGAUACCGCUGCUUCGUUUUUACCUAGUUUAAACUCCUACUCGAUAACGUUUCCAAUUCGUGAUACACUUAUAUCUGUUAGAUGCUUAUACUUGUUCACACUCUUACUUAGUGAUACAUUUCUACUUCACAUAUACUUGAUAUCGCUUCUACUUCACUUAUACUUGAUACGCUCCUACUUCUCUUGUUGUUGCUUCUACUUCGUGAUACACUUACAUUUGGUACGCUUAUACUUCACGAUUCGGUUAUUCCACACUGUACACUUAUACUUCACGAUAUGAAUCCACUUGUUACACACUCAAGCGUAGUUAGAUGUAUGUAUGUGCUUGUUUAGAUGCAUAUAAGUAAUGAUUGAAGGACUUAGGAAGGCUUGUCCGCCCUAUUUCCUUUUCUUCGUUGAGAUGUGGUCUGGUGGGAUCGGAUGGCCGUCCGAAGGUUGUUUGAUUCAUUAGUUAUAUGUUAUGUGUAUGAGCAUAGACAUAUAGGUUUGCUCUAGUCAGUUCAGUUAUGAGUCUCUACCUCUAGUUCAGCACUUACAUAUGAAACCCACUACCCACUCUAUGGGAUGCAUCUUCGGGACGCGGCCUUCUCCGUCGUCUAGUUGGUAACCAGAGUCUUCUGUAGGGAGAGCAGACAUUGUGUGUAUAGAUGUUUACGGGAUUGACAUCCCCGCACCUUGACUGCUAGCUACAGUCCACGUCCCACCAAGCCAAGGGAUGACAAAUGUCAUAUUUUAUAGACGCUUGUAGGGCGUCAGGUAUUCUAGUGUCGGUUAGUAUGGUUACGAGUAUCCCAGGUUACCUUAUAAUUCAUGGCCUUAAGGUAAUGGUAAUUC